rnacentral:rRNA from 1 species
AAUGAACGCUGGCGGCGUGCUUAACACAUGCAAGUCGAACGAGAACGGCCCUUCGGGGUGUCAGCUAAGUGGCGCACGGGUGAGUAAUGUAUAGAUAACAUGCCCUUACAAAGGAAUAACAGUUGAAACGACUGCUAAUGCCUUAUAUGCCUUUAAGACAAAAGUCUGCAAGGGAAGAUUUAUUGGUAAGGGAUUGGUCUGUAUGGUAUCAGCUAGUUGGAGAGGUAAUGGCUCACCAAGGCAAUGACGCCUAACUGGUUUGAGAGGAUGAUCAGUCACACUGGAGCUGAGACACGGUCCAGA